GAGUCCAUGCGAGCACAGUAACAAAGUGCUUGUUCCCGCCACCACCUCCCCUCUUUCCAUGUAAUUCAUGCCCAACCCUGUCUAUUUACGGAGCCAUUAUGAUCAUGAAAGCACAAAAUAUUGGACAUAAAAUAUAAACGUCAUGUUUUUCAGAAAGAAACCUCUUUACUUUGAAGAAACUUCUGAGCCUACUUUCCAAAGACCGCCCUCUGGAUGAGAAUUUUCACAAUCGAAAUUAGAUGGCUCCAAAGUGGUUCACAUGAUGCAAACCGGUUAAGUGUGCUCAGCACUUCGGCAUUUUCAUGUCAUCUAUCUGCCCACUCCUGGACCCUCUUGGCACUGACUUGCACUCUGAAAUGCACUGCUCAUUCCUGUGCAAUCUGGACAGUGAGAACUAUUACCAGACGUUGAGAUCGUUCAAGACACAUGGAUUCCCAGGGAUCAUUAUCCUGGAAGCACAAAGUCAAGAAUAAACAUGAACACUCAAAUCCACCUAAAGAAGAAAAUUCACACCCCCUUUUGGCAGGUAAAUUGUGCUCGCAGUCAAGUGCUGCUUUGGUAAAGUUGUCCUGAAAACCGCUCCUCCUACACAGCCAGCCUCAGACACCUGGAUAGAAAUGGCAGAACCAUCAACAAGAGAUGAGUGACAAUAACACUGAACCAGGGACCAGGAACUGGGUUCUAGUACCAUUUCUACCACUAACUCUGGCCUUGAGUAAGUCAUCUCUCCUUCCAGGCACUCAGCUUUCUCGUCUGUGAAACAAUUGAAUACCACAGUAUUUUCCAACUUGCCUAUUCAUAAAUAUCUUGUAAAACACUUGUUAUAAAUUCAGAUUCCCAUA